rnacentral:rRNA from 1 species
AACGAACGCUGGCGGCAUGCCUAACACAUGCAAGUCGAACGAUACCUCCGGGUCUAGUUGCGCACGGGUGCGUAACGCGUGGGAACGUGCCCUUAAGGUCGGAAUACCUCCCCGUAAGGGGUGCUAACACCGGGUAAUUUCUUCUGACCCGAGAUUUAUCGCCUUUGUAUGGGCCCGCGUUGGAUUAGCUUGUUGGUAGGGUAAGAGCCUAGCUAGGGGCCGAUCCAUAGCUGGGCUGGGAGGAUGCUCAGCCACACUGGGACUGGGACACGGCCCAGAAUACUACGGGAGGCAGCAGUGGGGAAUAUUGGACAAUGGGCGAAAGGCUGAUGGAGCCCUGCCGGGUGAGUGAUGAAGGCGUUAGGGUAGUAAAGCUGUUUUAUCCGGGAGGAUAAUGACGGUACCGGGAGAAUAAGCUCCGGCUAACUCCGUG